GGACGAACGCUGGCGGCGUGCUUAACACAUGCAAGUCGAACGGAAAGGCCCUGCUUGCAGGGUGCUCGAGUGGCGAACGGGUGAGUAACACGUGGGUGAUCUGCCCCUUACUUUGGGAUAAGCCUGGGAAACUGGGUCUAAUACUGGAUAGGACCAUGCUGUAGGUGGUGUGGUGGAAAGAUUAGUUUCGGUAAGGGAUGAGCUCGCGGCCUAUCAGCUUGUUGGUGGGGUAAUGGCCUACCAAGGCGUCGACGGGUAGCCGGCCUGAGAGGGUGGACGGCCACAUUGGGACUGAGAUACGGCCCAGACUCCUACGGGAGGCAGCAGUGGGGAAUAUUGCACAAUGGGCGCAAGCCUGAUGCAGCGACGCCGCGUGGGGGAUGACGGCCUUCGGGUUGUAAACUCCUUUCAGCCAUGACGAAGCCCUUGUGGUGACGGUGGUGGUAGAAGAAGCACCGGCUAACUACGUG
rnacentral:rRNA from 1 species